AAAAAAGAAAAAAGAAAAAAAGAAAAGAAAAAACUAAUAGAUGAAAACAGAAAAAACAAACAAAAAACCGAAUAAUGACAAGAGAAGAAAGGUAAAGAGAAAAGAAGAAAAAAGCCAAGUGAAAAAGUAAAGAAUAACUCAAAGGAAGGAGUGGAUGGCAAGAAAUACAGAGAAAGCAAUGCAUAGCAGAGCAAAGGAAAGCAAGGCAAAAUAGCAGCCAAAGCCACGAGAAUCAAGAAGUCAGUGAAGAGCAGGAAAGGAAUGGAGGACUCUGGCCAGAGCUGUGCCCCUGCUUGCCACAGGAGCUGCGCGGGAGGAGAAGAAUGUGGGCCAAAAGGAAUGGAGGACUCUGGCCAGAGCUGUGCCCCUGCUUGCCACAGGAGCUGCGCGGGAGGAGAAGAAUGUGGGCCAAAAGCAGAGCAAAGGAAAGCAAGGCAAAAUAGCAGCCAGAGCCACGAGAAUCAAGAAGUCAGUGAAGAGCAGGAAAGGAAUGGAGGACUCUGGCCAGAGCUGUGCCCCUGCUUGCCACAGGAGCUGCGCGGGAGGAGAAGAAUGUGGGCCAAAAGGAAUGGAGGACUCUGGCCAGAGCUGUGCCCCUGCUUGCCACAGGAGCUGCGCGGGAGGAGAAGAAUGUGGGCCAAAAGAAAAAGCAUACAAAAAACCGAAUAAUGACAAGAGAAGAAAGGUAAAGAGAAAAGAAGAAAAAAGCC
ensembl:lncRNA